GUUAGGUCUUGCUCUCUCAAGGGAAUUUCGUCCCAACCCUCAUCCCUAUGAUCCAAGGAUUUCUUCAAAAUCUCAAGAACACCAAAAGUGAGGAUUCUUAAAAUCCUUACUACAAGAGUAGAUUGGAAUUACUUGAAUUUCCGGAAUAUCGUAGUAAU